AUAUGGUUCGAUUCCGGAGAGGGAGCCUGAGAAAGGCUACCACAUCCAGGAAGGCAGCAGGCGCGCAACUUACCCAAUCCCGACACGGGGAGGUAGUGACAAUAAAUAACAAUACAGGGCUCUUUUGGGUCUUGUAAUUGGAAUGAGUACAAUUUAAAUCCCUUAACGAGGAACAAUUGGAGGGCAAGUCUGGUGCCAGCAGCCGCGGUAAUUCCAGCUCCAAUAGCGUAUAUUAAAGUUGUUGCAGUUAAAAAGCCCGUAGUUGAAUUUGAGAAUUAAUUUUAAGGUCCAUUUAACGAUGAGUACUUUAAAAUUGAUUCUUACCUUUUGGUGAACUAAAUGAUUGAAAG
rnacentral:rRNA from 1 species